AGUGAACGCUGGCGGUAGGCCUAACACAUGCAAGUCGAACGGCAGCACAGUAAGAGCUUGCUCUUACGGGUGGCGAGUGGCGGACGGGUGAGGAAUGCAUCGGAAUCUACUUUUUCGUGGGGGAUAACGUAGGGAAACUUACGCUAAUACCGCAUACGACCUACGGGUGAAAGCAGGGGAUCUUCGGACCUGUCGCGGUGGAAUGAGCCGAUGUCGGCGUAGCUAGUUGGCGGGGUAAAGGCCCACCAAGGCGACGAUCGGUAGCUGGUCUGAGCGGGUGAUCAGCCAGCCUGGAAGUGAGACAGGGCCCACACUCCUACAGGGGGCAGCAGUCGGGACUACUAGGCGAUGCGGCAAAGCCUAAUACAGGCAUAUCGCGUGGGUGAUGAUCGACCUCGGCUUCUAAAGCCCUUAUGUUGUGAGAGUAAUAAAGCACGUUAACCCGCCGUGGUAAUGACGGUACCCAGAGAAUAAGCACCGGCUAACUUCGUG
rnacentral:rRNA from 1 species